AGAGCGAACGCUGGCGGCAGGCCUAACACAUGCAAGUCGAGCGCCGUAGCAAUACGGAGCGGCAGACGGGAGAGUAACACGUGGGAACGUGCCCUUUGGUUCGGAACAACACAGGGAAACUUGUGCUAAUACCGGAUAAGCCCUUACGGGGAAAGAUUUAUCGCCAAAGGAUCGGCCCGCGUCUGAUUAGCUAGUUGGUGAGGUAACGGCUCACCAAGGCGACGAUCAGUAGCUGGUCUGAGAGGAUGAUCAGCCUCACUGGGACUGAGACACGGCCCAGACUCCUACGGGAGGCAGCAGUGGGGAAUAUUGGACAAUGGGGGCAACCCUGAUCCAGCAAUGCCGCGUGAGUGAUGAAGGCCUUAGGGUUGUAAAGCUCUUUCGCCCGCGACGAUGAUGACGGUAGCGGGAGAAGGAAGCCCCGGCUAACGUUCGUGCCAGCAGCCGC
rnacentral:rRNA from 1 species